rnacentral:rRNA from 1 species
AACGAACGCUGGCGGCAUGCCUAACACAUGCAAGUCGAACGAGACCUUCGGGUCUAGUGGCGAACGGGUGCGUAACGCGUGGGAACCUGCCCUUAGGUUCGGAAUAACGCCCCGAAAGGGGUGCUAAUACCUGAUAAUAUCUUCGGACCAAAGAUUUAUCGCGUUUGGAUGGGCCCGCGUUGGAUUAGCUAGUUGGUAGGGUAACAGCCUACCAAGGCGACGAUCCAUAGCUGGGCUGAGAGGAUGAUCAGCCACACUGGGGCUGAGACACGGCGCAGACUCCUACGGGAGGCAGCAGUGGGGAAUAUUGGACUGUGGGCGAAAGCCUGAUCCAGCAAUGCUGCGUGACUGAUGAAGUACUUAGGGUUGUAAAGCUCUUUUACCCGGGAUGAUAAUGACAGUACCGGGAGAAUAAGCUCCGGCUAACUCCGUG